UGACUCUCCCAUCUCACUCCCAUAUGUUCAGCCUCACCAAGGAAAAGAGGAAAGAAAGAAAUAACAAACCCUAGUUAGCAAAAAUUCAAGGGAAAAUUGGUGGAUUUCAAGGAAUUAAGCAAGUAAAGGUAAAAUUUCUUGAUUUUAGCUUGUGAUCUACCUUUCCUAUGCAUUCUUUUUCAUUUUUCAUAGUUGAGAAUCAAGUUUGCAUGAAGAUACCUUUGCUGGCCGGACAUGGGGGGAGGGAUUUUGAUCUUGGAUUUAGCUAGAUUUCAUAUUAUUCUAGUGUUUUUAGUUGUUUGGUGAUGUUUGGCAUGGAAAACAAGCAAGAAAUUUCAUGCCCUUCACCCACACCCAUUGGCUGAAUUUUUCAAGAGAGAAAUUGGAAAAUGGACUUUGAUGAAUUUCAUGCUAUUUAGGUAUUUUUAGUUGUUUUAUGAUGUAAAGUGUAAAAAAAUCAAGUAUGAAAAAUCAUAGUGUUUAUGCACCCACCAUGGCCGAAUUUCAUUAGGAACCUAGUGAUGAUGAUUCUUGUGUUAUUUAGUUAGAAUUUAAUGAAUGGAGGUGAUGGAAAUCGAAAAUGGUAAUUUUAAAGUAUAGUUCUUUUAGUGAAUAAGUUGAAUAACAAUGAGAAAGUCAAGCUCAUUGAGGUGCUUUGGUGUAUUUUGGGACAUUGGAAGUGUGAUGAAUAUAAUUGGAGUCAAUUUGGAUGUUUUGGUUAAAUCAAAGGUGGAGAGUUCGAUUUAGGUCGAAAAUCGAUCCAUUCUGAUCACAAUUGAACCAACAUGUAACACCAUCUUUAAGUGACUAACCAAACAACCUCAUGCAUUCAUAUAGAGCCUGAAAUAGAUUUAUAAUGACAUGACACAAUAUAUUGAAUUAUUUGUCGUGUAUUGUGUAUAGGUGGUGAGUCUUCUAACAAGGGUAAAGACAUUGUGCCAGAGGACCAAGAAUAGGAGUAUUUCGAACUCCCGAUAUCGUGAGUAACCUUAUUAUCGUCUUAAUUAUCUAAAGUAGUUUUUAUUCGUUUUUGUGAUUUUAUAGAAAAAUGAGUUUAAAUGGUAAAUCCUUAUGUUUAAUACGUAAAAUGUGAUUAAAUGAAAUGAGUUUUAUAAAUCAUUUUGAAAUUGAAUGAUGAUUUUAGAAAUUGAGUAAUUGGAGACGGUUUGAUUGUAUUGUAAAUUUAUUGUUUGAAUUGAAUGGCUUAUGGUGAUAUUGGCAUGAAUGGCUGAAUUGGAAAUUGUGUUGAAUAUAUGAACUGUUUUGCUUUGCCUUGACAGGCUGGUAAUAUUAUAUUAGCCAUGUUAUGCUGCCGAAAUUUUAUUGAUUUGGUGGGAUAUCGAUUAGCUUACUGCAGUGGGCGGGUUUCUGUGGACCAACCUAUUAGAGGGGCACAGUAAAUCUCGUUAUAUUUUACCUCGGUACAAGAGGCGCAGAGGGUAACUCCUGAGGUAAAGCUUUAGAGUUCACUACACGCUAAACCACCACGUGAGGGUGAACUCAGCCAACACCAAGGAACGGUUAUGCUUUUAAACAUAAAAAUGUGUUUUAUGCGUAUAUGAACUUUUCUUUAACAGCCUUGGCGAACUCGGUUGGAUGCCCCGGCCAAGGUAUCCCCAAGAAUAAGUUUUGGCAUGAGUCAAAUUUUUAAGAAAUUUAUAAGCUUAUUUAUUUUGCUUUUAUACUACAAAAAUUAUUUACGGAUAUCUCUAUAAAUAUUGUUUCAUAAGAAAAUGAACUAUUUUAUUUAAUAUUUUUAUUUUAUUGUAAUAGCUAUCAUUUCACUUUAAAUGAAUGUUUUAGACAUCUAAACUUAU
rnacentral:lncRNA from 1 species